GACGAACGUUGGCGGCGUGCUUAACACAUGCAAGUCGAACGGAAAGGCCCUGCUUUUGUGGGGUGCUCGAGUGGCGAACGGGUGAGUAACACGUGAGUAACCUGCCCUUGACUUUGGGAUAACUUCAGGAAACUGGGGCUAAUACCGGAUAGGAGCUCCUGCUGCAUGGUGGGGGUUGGAAAGUUUCGGCGGUUGGGGAUGGACUCGCGGCCUAUCAGCUUGUUGGUGGGGUAGUGGCUUACCAAGGCUUUGACGGGUAGCCGGCCUGAGAGGGUGACCGGCCACAUUGGGACUGAGAUACGGCCCAGACUCCUACGGGAGGCAGCAGUGGGGAAUAUUGCACAAUGGGCGGAAGCCUGAUGCAGCAACGCCGCGUGCGGGAUGACGGCCUUCGGGUUGUAAACCGCUUUCGCCUGUGACGAAGCGUGAGUGACGGUAAUGGGUAAAGAAGCACCGGCUAACUACGUGCCAGCAGCCGCGGUGAUACGUAGGGUGCGAGCGUUGUCCGGAUUUAUUGGGCGUAAAGGGCUCGUAGGUGGUUGAUCGCGUCGGAAGUGUAAUCUUGGGGCUUAACCCUGAGCGUGCCUUCGAUACGGGUUGACUUGAGGAAGGUAGGGGAGAAUGGAAUUCCUGGUGGAGCGGUGGAAUGCGCAGAUAUCAGGAGGAACACCAGUGGCGAAGGCGGUUCUCUGGGCCUUUCCUGACGCUGAGGAGCGAAAGCGUGGGGAGCGAACAGGCUUAGAUACCCUGGUAGUCCACGCUGUAAACGGUGGGUACUAGGUGUGGGGUCCAUUCCACGGGUUCCGUGCCGUAGCUAACGCUUUAAGUACCCCGCCUGGGGAGUACGGCCGCAAGGCUAAAACUCAAAGGAAUUGACGGGGCCCCGCACAAGCGGCGGAGCAUGCGGAUUAAUUCGAUGCAACGCGUAGAACCUUACCUGGGUUUGACAUGGAUCGGGAGUGCUCAGAGAUGGGUGUGCCUCUUUUGGGGUCGGUUCACAGGUGGUGCAUGGCUGUCGUCAGCUCGUGUCGUGAGAUGUUGGGUUAAGUCCCGCAACGAGCGCAACCCUUGUUCACUGUUGCCAGCACGUUAUGGUGGGGACUCAGUGGAGACCGCCGGGGUCAACUCGGAGGAAGGUGGGGAUGACGUCAAGUCAUCAUGCCCCUUAUGUCCAGGGCUUCACGCAUGCUACAAUGGCUGGUACAGAGAGUGGCGAGCCUGUGAGGGUGAGCGAAUCUCGGAAAGCCGGUCUCAGUUCGGAUUGGGGUCUGCAACUCGACCUCAUGAAGUCGGAGUCGCUAGUAAUCGCAGAUCAGCAACGCUGCGGUGAAUACGUUCCCGGG
rnacentral:rRNA from 1 species